AUACUGGUAACCAGAAGAGGUUAAGCACACUUCAGGAGGCACCAUACAGAAACUCUGAUUUAAUUGAUUCUUUCCAGGUAUUGGUCUAUUUUAGAAGAUCCCAGGAAUUCUAAUAGCUUGAAAUCCACUGCCCACAUUCUGUUAUAUGGGCCCAAGGAUUAGAAUUGGUGGUGUUUCCAUUUUCUUUGGCACUAGUAUUAGCUUGGGCUCCAUGAAUUGCCAUUUUUGUAAAAGAUUCAACGUGGUCACCUAUCAACUUUCUUUUCACUUGCUUCAACCAGAGAGUUGAGGAGAAUGAUGCCUUAUGGUCUUUGCCUAAAGUAGGAAUAUGUUCCCAACCCAUCUACCCAAUAGCUCAUACCUAAGGCCUUCAGGAAACACUUGGUGACCAGCUAGUUCUGCUUUCUGGAAUGACUCCUCAGCAGGUGACCUUCUCUGGAAAGCCUUCCUGGCCCUGUGAAGCACCCACAGUCCCUACCCUUCCAUGAAGUUUCACAACUACCACUCUGUAACCUCAUUUUGUAGUCAUUUGUCCUCCCCUCUUUGGGGUACAGCCUGUGGAGGGUAGCAACUGACACUGGGGAAAUGACCUGGCCCACUUGACAAAGCACCAUUUUCAUCACCUGGUCCCAAAUGGCAAAAUUUACAAAAUUAUUCAAGUAUCAAAGUACAUAUUCUCUUGUUAAAUGGUGUGGCUUUAUAUUUUAAUGAUUUUGUAAAAGCAAAGCUGAAUAAUGUCCAAAGAUGAUCAAGUUACAUGAAAAUGAGAGAAGUGUGAUAAAGUUAUCUGGGUACAAAUUUCAUAGAUUAGUAAUACCCUCUUGCACCUGUUGGUUCUUACCUCUUCCCUUACUCAAAAAAUUUAUUUGGUAAAAAGAAAAAAAAAAGUUUCUUUGGUAGGGUUGGCAUCAGCUGCCACCCAGAAAGCCUGAAAGGAUUUAUAUUCAAGUUUGAAUGAGAAAAAGGUUGCCCAUGGGUACAACACCCUUUGCUCACUGCCACACAUGCCAGUCUUUAUUUAAAAGUGUCCAGGGCUACAGGGUACCAAGUUGCUUCUCCAUCAUUCUCAUACCUAUUGUACCAUUGACCUCUUUGGUGUCUUGGAAAUAAACUUUUAUCACCCCCAUUUUGUUAACGAAGAGUCAGAAAUCCACUGCCCACAUUCUGUUAUAUGGGCCCAAGGAUUUGGGGGAGAUGUUUGGGAGAUGGCCACAAGUCACAAAAGGGACAUGCCAAAGUCUGGCCAAAGAAUAGAACUCCUCACUCCAACCCCUUUUGUUAAAUCUCAGGAGGGACAAGAACUCAGUUGUUUUUGUUGGUGUGGACUUGUAUGCAGAUGUUUUUAAUACUCUCUCCUCAUUUACCAGGUUGGAAGGUGAAAACUUUCAAAUGGACACUUUGCAAUCAGGGACAACAGGAAAGUUCAUGUUCAGUACAGUGAAAUAUUACACCCUGUACUCUUGCCUCACCACUGCAGAGGGCCCUGGCCUUUGAAGAAACUAAAUGAAUUGCAGCAUCAUGGGGGUGGUGCUGAGUGGGUUCAACCUGGAGCCUCAGCCCAUCUGACCCAGAUUCAGCACACAGACUCCACAAAACAGCCAUGUGGUGUCAUGGCUAAAAGAGUGUGGACCCUGAGUCAUAUGACUGGGCUAGUAUCUUGGUGCUACCCAUCCCAACUGCAUAAAUUUAAACAAGAUACUUAACCUGUGCUUGGACUCCUUCACUGUGGAUCUGGGAGUUCGUGCCUAGCUCCCUAGGUGUCAUGGAAAGAAAGGUCCACAUGCACAACAAGCCUGCACUUGGUAUAUGUAGAAUAAAGACAGUUUUCCUUGUAACAA